UACAUAGGGAGCUGUUCUGUCACCCUUUAUACACCCUUUGUAUUGCUUAUGAAGACUGUAUGUAUGCUAUAUAAAGCCUUUAUAAGUUGUAUUUAGUUUAAUCACAGUCUAUCCAUCUGCUUUCCCAACACCAGAGACCAUGGUGGAGAGUGUUGUAUCAAGCCUGGACCUGAGAACACCAGAGACCAGAUAUGGAUUCCUCAGAGCUGUAAGACUUGUGACCAUGUUGAGGACUCCACACACUGGCUUCAGAUUGAACCCUUGACUUCCACUGUCCAGGGAGUGACAAUGUUCAGGCACAGGACACCCAAAGG